rnacentral:rRNA from 1 species
UAGGGAAUCUUCCACAAUGGACGAAAGUCUGAUGGAGCAACGCCGUGUGAGUGAAGAAGGUCUUCGGAUCGUAAAGCUCUGUUGUUGGUGAAGAAGGAUAGAGGCAGUAACUGGUCUUUAUUUGACGGUAAUCAACCAGAAAGUCACGGCUAACUACGUGCCAC